UCAAGCAUUUAUUUAACAUUCCGAUUUCUUUAUUAUCAAGCAGAAGCAAACACAUCAUGUAGUUGGGUGCGUCGUUUUUAAUCUUUCAGAAUUUGUGCAGCAAAAGAAAACAAAUCAUGUAGUUGGUUGCGUCGCUUUCAAUCUGUCUGAAAUUGUGAAGAAAAACAAAGCAGAAUCUAGUUAUAAAUUCGCUUGCGGUGAUGUUUUUGGAUUCUUAUGUUUUGUCAAUUAAAGCAACGCUUUAUUAAUAAUCUCUACGUGUCGAAUAACUGCAUUGAUGGCUUUGUAACGACACAAACACCUGGUUUCACAUUGGGAUUGAAGUGUGAGCUUUGGUUUGCUGUUAAAAAUCCCAUCACCAAAAACGGUUUGCUUGUGUCGGUUUUGCCAUCUUUUGAGACAGCUUUGUUACAAUAAAGCACAGAUCAGAUCUAGUUCCUGUCAAAACAUAUAUAAGACUACCGACAAUUUGUCUGUAAAGACUCGGAUCUUCUAACUGAGGCGAUUGAUCAUGCGACAUUUUAUUUUGUAUCGGAAGAAGACGGAGUGGGUUUAGGUUUACACUCCGACAUGCCAAAUUUUGUCAGUAACUUAAUAAUAUAUUGCCUUUGACUCAUUGUUA